rnacentral:tRNA from 1 species
GGGGGUGUAGCUCAGCUGGGAGAGGCACUUGCCUUGCACGCAAGGGGUCAGGAGUUCGAUCCUCCUCAUCUCCACCA